rnacentral:snRNA from 1 species
AUGCUCGCUUUGGCAGCACAGAUACUAAAAUUGGAAUGUUACAGAGAUUAGCAUGGUCCAUGAGCAAAGAUGACACGCAAACUUGUGAAGCAUUCCAUGUUUUU